CCUCAAAAACAUUCUUCCUUGGUCCCCACUUAUACUCAGUUUCAUUUUUCAAGGCGGAUUGCAAGGUUCGUGUAAAGCUCACAGCUGCAAUGAAGUCACUGACAAAUCUGUGAAUUACCCUGAGUGCAAAGACAAGCUAGUUCAUUUAUAAACAGCCCUUAGAAUAAUAGUAAACUAAACUGCAGGUGGGAAACCUUCAUAAGAUAAAAACUCAGACACACUGUCCCUUCUUGGAAAGCCCUGGAUAAGAAGUAAACAAUGCCAACAAGUCCCUUAGUGACUUGUCACUCCACUUAAAAUGGCCUUUAUUAAGAGUGAUGACCUCCGCCUUAACUGUAAGACCAACCAACUCAAAUGUAAGUCAAGAACAAGAACAUAUUUCCUUGCAGGGGAUUCUGUGCAAACUCAUAGAUGAUUUGCACCUCUGUGAAAGGUCAUGGCUAGGAGGCCAGGUUGAGGAAACUUGAACAGCUAAAGUACACCCAGGCUGUCUGCUAACUACCUGCAUCCUAAUUACCUGUCUGCUAUCGCUGUGUGACGUGCAGAGCCAUGAGAUAGGAUCUGUCUUCAUUUACAGAUCAUAAAAAAACAAAGCUUUAGACAGGUUAAGUAGCUUGCCCAAUGAAAGCAAUUUCUUCUGACCCUUGUGCACAAUUAUGUCCACAGGAGAACACCAUAUACAUAUAUUGCCCAACCUUUGAACACCAUUUACUCAAGAAUGGCUUUCCUUUCCCUGCCAUGCACAGGCAGGCUUGUGGUUAGCCAGUCCUUUCUGGUCAGUGUGGAUAUAUCUGCUGGGUUCAGGGGUGUAGGGUUAGGGAUCUCACUGUUUCCGCACACCAAAACUGUUCUCCAACAGCUCAGUCAAUAAAAACAGCUGAUAUCGGGGCAGGGGUGGAGUUCUUGGUUCAGGACUCUUCUAAUGUCCUGGACUGCAGAAAAGCCCUUGCCCUUACCCUGGAUAAAUACCUGAGAAUGCUUGUCUCCUUCCCACUCUGUAGGCACUCUUGUCCUCUCCAUUCCCUUCCUUGCCUCCUGAGGAGCUUCUGUGGCCCUGGGCUGAUGUGGGGAAGGGAGAAGGGUCCCCUGCACCCCUGGGAUGGGAACAUGAAUGAGUCUGCCCACCAACCCCUAAGAAAUAUGCAUACCUGUGCUCAAAUUAUGGGGCCAUCAGUUCUGCUAGUCUCAGAGCCCCCUAGGGAGGGCGACCCAGCUUUUACUGGACACCCAGGGACUUUCCCUGGAACCUGCUGUUGUGAGCGUUUCUGAGGUGUAGACAAACAGCUCCCCCACACACCUAGCCAACAACCCACUCUCAAGGUGGGAAACACCAUUCUAAGGACUCGCAUUAACCCAUCUGGAUAACCCUGGGUAAUCUGGAGCAGAGGUCGAAACCACUGAAUGGCUCAGGUACGGUAGAAAAUGCCUCUGAUUGAUUGUUUUGGACAUCGCUGCUAUUGCAACAGAGAAAGAUCAAGCCCCAUCACCUAGAAGGGAUUUCAUUCUUUGCAACAGGAAAGAUAGUUCAGAAUCCAGCGCCAAUUAUUCCCAGAAAAAAAAUACCAUUUGAAACAUUACAAAUGAAAUUGAGUUAUAUAAACCCCCUUCCUCAUCCCUUCCAAGGAGGGUGGAUUCUGCGGAUAUCAAGGGUGACUGUGGCAGACUGGAAGGGUGGGAAAGAGAUCAAAUUAGAGAAAACCAAGGGAAGAGCAACUGCCAGCCACCUAGGAAAAAGGAGAGAGGCCUAGGUGACAGGACCCCGAGUUGGAGAGAAAGACACACAGAGGGGUGAGUCAGAGGAAAGCUACAGAAGGGUGUGCUGGGGACAGGCGUCAAGAGGUGAGGCUGCCUCAGGGAGAGGAAGCACGGGAGGAGACCUGGCCCAGGAGAGUUUCAGAGGCUCCUCCCAGCAGCGUGCAGUAGUACCUCCUCCCCCAAGAAAUCAGGAUUGUGCAGGAAACACUCUCCUACUUCUCAGUGGCCACUGGAGAGCUCUGAACCCAGCCCAGGGUCAACUGCCCGGCACUGUCAGGCAGUUCCUCUGACUCCACAGCACAUUCUAAUUGCAGUCACUCCUGCAAGUGCUCAGAGGACACCCAACCCUAUGAUCUCAGCCAACUCAUGAAGUUUGAUUUCACAACUUAGUGAUGUCUUCCCAGUGGAAUCCUAAAUGAUAAGGAAAAUGGUAUAGAGCCAAGACUUGAACAUUAACAACCCAGGAGCACAGAAACAGCACAGUUAGCUGAGAGGCGUUAUGGAGAGAAGCAACCGAAUGCACACUGAGCGCUGUGAGAAGUCCACGACAGUGGGGAACAGCGCCCACCGUCACAAAAAGAAAGACCCUCGGCAGGUACUUUAGAGUCACGUUCAUGCUGUAAUAUGUGGGGAAGAAAGACUAUUCCAAAUGGAUCUGGCUUUUUAAAACAAGGGAAUUUUCCUUGCUCUUGGGAACCAGCAAAAUCCAGCUGCUCAUUGAACUGCCUGUCUGGAAUCUCACAAAUUUGCACCUUGAAGUUGUUAAUAAAGGACUAAGUUGAUAAUUCGAACAAA
rnacentral:lncRNA from 1 species